rnacentral:lncRNA from 1 species
GGGGGAGAGACCAAGAUCUGUUCUAAAGAAGAGUACAAGACAUGGUGGUGAUGUGCAAUGAAGAGAAGAACGAGUGUGCAUCACAGUUAGGCCGUGAUCCAGGGUCUUUGUGUCCAUCACACUGAUACUAAGACACAAAGACCCACUGGCCAAUCCCCAGGCCUUGAUGAACCUACUCUUUUUCCCUUACAAGGUUUUGUCCCAAAGGGUUUUCCUUGUAAGGUUUUUAAUGAGGGGAUUCUUCAAGGUUCCAAGCUUGACUUAGGAUCAACUAAAGUCAAGCUU